rnacentral:tRNA from 1 species
ACUUAAAUAGUUUAAAAAAAAUAUCAAUUUGUGGUGUUGAUGAUAUAUAAUGUUAUUUUGGGUU